AGAUGUUAUAAGACAACUAUUGCAGUUUAAAUGCGCUGACAAGCCGUUAGCUGGCAACCAAAUGGAGAUGGAAUUUCUCUUAACACAAAUGGCGCAGACAAUUCCGCAAAUCAGUGCCAAUGGUUAUUUCAAUGUCAGCAAGAAACUUUUACCGCAGGUGUUUGGAGCAGCCCUGACUUACUUUUUCAUCCUUUACGAAUUCAAAGCGUCCGAGAACACAACUCCUCUCAGCUGAUGAUUUAAUCGUGCCCCUUAAUCAAGAGGUGCUAAGUAUAAAUAAUUAAACUUGAUUAGUUGCUACGUCAAACCUUUUCUGUAUCGUCAAACAUUUGCAGACCUGUAACACUGCACGUGUUCUCAGUGAUCCAGCUCUUUGAGAAC